ACGAACCGCUGGUGUUCGGGUUGUCAUGCCAAUGGCAUUGCCCGGUAGCUACGUUCGGAAUCGAUAACCGCUGAAAGCAUCUAAGCGGGAAGCGAGCCCCAAGAUGAGUCAUCCCUAGGGCCUAGAGCCCUCUGAAGAGCCGUUCGAGACCAGGACGUUGAUAGGCAGGGUGUGUAAGCGUUGCGAGGCGUUGAGCUAACCUGUACUAAUGACUCGAGAGGCUUAACCAU
rnacentral:rRNA from 1 species